rnacentral:rRNA from 1 species
AGGAACACAUGGGUACCUACCUUGAAGUGAGGGAUACCGGCGAGAAAUCGCCGACAAUACCGCAUACGCUUCGCAAGAAGCAAAGCUCCUUGAGAGAGGGGCGCUUUGGGAUGGGCCUGUGGCCGAUUAGCUAGCUGGUGGGGUAAGAGCUUACCAGGGCGACGAUCGGUAGCUGGUCUGAGAGGACGAUCAGCCACACUGGGAUUGAGAACGGCCCAG